rnacentral:tRNA from 1 species
GCCUGGCUAGCUCAGUCGGUAGAGCAUGAGACUCUUAAUUUCAGGGUCAUGGGUUCAAGCCCCACGUUGGGCG